rnacentral:rRNA from 1 species
AUUGAACGCUGGCGGCAGGCCUAACACAUGCAAGUCGAGCGGGGUUUUCGGACCUAGCGGCGGACGGGUGAGUAAUGCGUAGGAAGCUACCCGAUAGAGGGGGAUACCAGUUGGAAACGACUGUUAAUACCGCAUAAUGUCUACGGACCAAAGUGUGGGACCUUCGGGCCACAUGCUAUCGGAUGCGCCUACGUGGGAUUAGCUAGUUGGUGGGGUAAUGGCUCACCAAGGCGACGAUCCCUAGCUGGUUUGAGAGGAUGAUCAGCCACACUGGAACUGAGACACGGUCCAGACUCCUACGGGAGGCAGCAGUGGGGAAUAUUGGACAAUGGGCGCAAGCCUGAUCCAGCCAUGCCGCGUGUGUGAAGAAGGCCUUCGGGUUGUAAAGCACUUUCAGUAGGGAGGAAGAGUUGAGUGUUAAUAGUACUCAGCUUUGACGUUACCUACAGAAGAAGCACCGGCUAACUCUGUGCCAGCAGCCGCAGUAA